GCCUGGGUGGCUCAGUCGGUUGAGGGCCCGACUUUGGCUCAGGUCAUGAUCUCACAGUUUGUGGGUUCAAACCCCAUGUCGGGCU
rnacentral:tRNA from 1 species